rnacentral:rRNA from 1 species
AUUGAACGCUAGCGGCAUGCCUUACACAUGCAAGUCGAACGAGUGGCGGACGGGUGAGUAAUAUAUCGGAACCUGCCCAGUAGCGGGGGAUAACUACUCGAAACGGUGGCUAAUACCGCAUACUAUUGGAGCAACCCAUAUCGGAUUAGCUAGUUGGUGGGGUAAAGGCUCACCAAGGCAACGAUCCCUAGCUGGUUUGAGAGGAAGACCAGCCACACUGGGACUGAGACACGGCCCAGACUCCUACGGGAGGCAGCAGUGGGGAAUUUGGGACAAUGGGGGAAAGCCUGAUGCAGCCAUCCCGCGUGUAUGAGAAGGCCUUAGGGUUGUAAAGUACUUUUGGCAGAGAAGCGUUAUCUGCAGAAGAAGCACCGGCUAACUACGUGCCAGCAGCCGCGGUAAUUC